AACCUAGCACACCUGCGGUGUGUACCUGCGGAAGGAUCAUUACCGAGUCUUCGUACUCAAAACAACCCUUCUGUGGACCUGAAUAAAACCGUUGCCUCGGCAGGCGGCCCUACCUACGGGCCAGAUAGUUCGGCUGCCUCCAGGGAGGAAACCCUCCCUGAGGUGCUGGCGCCAGCCGCUGGCCCCAAACCAAAACUCUAGUAACUUUUACCUUCUGAGUUUUAAUGCAAGAAAUAAGUC
rnacentral:misc_RNA from 1 species